UAGAUGCGAGAGUAGAGCAUAUCAAUAAGCGGAGGAAAAGAAACUAACAAGGAUUCCCUUAGUAACGGCGAGUGAAGCGGGAAGAGCUCAAAUUUGAAAUCUUCAAGGUUUUACCUUGACGAAUUGUAGUUUAAAGAAGUGUUUUCUGUUGAAGUUUUGGUAAAAGUUCUUUGGAACAGGACAUCAUAGAGGGUGAGAAUCCCGUAUUUGACCAUUAUUUUCAGCUGUGUGAUACACUUUCAAAGAGUCGGAUUGUUUGGGAAUGCAGUCCAAAAUGGGUGGUAAAUUUCAUCUAAAGCUAAAUAUUGGCGAGAGACCGAUAGCGAACAAGUACCGUGAGGGAAAGAUGAAAAGAACUUUGAAAAGAGAGUUAAACAGUACGUGAAAUUGUCAAAAGGGAAGCGUUUGACACCAGUGUUGUUUUCUCGAAAAUCAAUUACGAAUGGCUUGAUUUUGUGUUGUAUUGACCUUAUCAGCUUUCUGCACUUUUUUCGAGUCUUUCUUAAUGCACUUUUCGGUUAACAAGUCAACAUCAAUUUCUUUUGUUGUAAAAGAGUAUUCGGAAGGUGGCUUUCUUUUCGGAGAAAGUGUUUAUAGCCCUAUACUUCUACAAUCGGAGAGAUUGAGGUCUGCAGCGUAGAUCCUUCGGGGUUAGAUACACUUGUGCUAAGUUGUAGCUUUUCAUAGACAACUUGUUGACUAUGUUUAGUCAUGCGGCUUACUCGCUUAUGCUAUUUUACCUACGCUUAGGAUGUUGAGCGCAUGUCUCUCUCU
rnacentral:rRNA from 1 species